rnacentral:pre_miRNA from 1 species
UCCUUCAUUCCACCGGAGUCUGUCUCAUACUAAUCAGAUUUCAGUGGAGUGAAGCACA